GCCAGUAUGGUGUAGUGGUUUGAGCGCUGGUCUACAGUUCUAGAAACCAGGGUUCAAAUCCCUCCUCAGCCA